CAAACCCAACCCGCACAUUCGACAUUUUCCCCCCAAAAUUUUUCCCCAUUUCCGGUUGAUCUCCUCCUUUUCCGGCGCUCCGAUUUUUCCCCAUUUUCCGGCAGAUCUCCUUCCUUUUCCGGCGCCGACCGCGAAAUCUGCCCAUCUCCACCGCUGACCGAGCUCCCCCCUUUUCCGGUGCCGACCCGCGAUCUCUGCCCGUCUCCACCGCUGACCGAGCUCUCCACUUCCGGUGCCGACCGAUCUCAGCCCGUCUCCAAGAUCUCCACUUCCUUCUCCAAGAUCUCUGAAAUUAGGGACUUGUCAAAGACCCAGUGCCAGCUUCUAAAAUUAAGCACACAACAACUAAGACCCAGUGCCAGCUUCGCUUUCCUCCAUUUGCUCCCCAUUUUUCGCUUUCAGAUCUCAAACAAGCAAACCCAGAACAAGAAUCCACAAAACCGAACCCAGGUUUACUUCCAUUUGUACCAGCAGCUAGAGGGAGAAUAAUUGCAAGGAAGAAGAAGCUUACGGUUGCUUGGCUUGUUAAGCCCUUGAUGGAAUUCUUAUAUUUCAACCAAUUCUAGAUGUUGGCCAUUGUUGAUUACUGCUGGAGGCUGUUGACACCUCAAUUUAAGCUAAAUGCCUGAACCUAAUUCAAGUGCUAGAUUUUGCUACACUAAUGUUAGUCUAAUGGGUAAAGUGGAUUAGGUACUGUGAAAAAGCUUCUUAUGUGGUCAAGUAUAGCAGCGUUCUUUGUAUCACAAAAAAAUAUCAUGGCAUUGCUAUGGAAUCCAGCUAAAGACUUAUUAUUAGCUUAUUUUCUUCAUCUUUUUUAGAGUUUACUGUUUAUUUGGAAGGAUUCUGGAAUUGUUGAUUUUAUGUUAUUACAAAUAAAGACAAUUAUAGCAGGAUCAUUAUUAUA